GGCCGGCAAAAUCCUAUCUCUACCUCCACGUGGUGCCGGCCGGACUAUGUAGCAUCAACAGCUGCAUAGACUAACAGAGAAGG
rfam:Anopheles dirus strain WRAIR2 unplaced genomic scaffold supercont1.36, whole genome shotgun sequence.